rnacentral:rRNA from 1 species
CCUACGGGUGUCAGCAGUGAGGAAUAUUGGGCAAUGGACGAGAGUCUGAACCAGCCAAGUAGCGUGAAGGAUGACUGCCCUCUGAGUUGUAAACUUCUUUUAUAUGGGAAUAAAACGUUCCACGUGUGGGAUUUUGUAUGUACCAUAUGAAUAAGGAUCGGCUAACUCCGUGCCAGCAGCCGCGGUAAUACUGAGGAUCCGAGCGUUAUCCGGAUUUAUUGGGUUGAAAGGGAGCGUAGGUGGAUUGUUAAGGAAGUGGUGAAAGUUUGGGGCUCAACCUUAAAAUUACAGUUAAAACGGGCAGUCUUGAGUACAGUAGAGGUGGGCGGAAUUCGUGGUGUAGCGGUGAAAUGCUUAGAUAUCACGAAGAACUCCGAUUGCGAAGGCAGUUCACUGGACUGCAACUGACACUGAGGCUCGAAAGUGUGGGUAUCAAACAGGAUUAGAUACCCCUGUAGUC